rnacentral:rRNA from 1 species
UACGUAGGGUGCAAGCGUUGUCCGGAAUUAUUGGGCGUAAAGAGCUCGUAGGCGGUUUGUCGCGUCUGCUGUGAAAACUCGGGGCUUAACCCCGGGCCUGCAGUGGGUACGGGCAGACUAGAGUGCGGUAGGGGAGACUGGAAUUCCGGGUGUAGCGGUGGAAUGCGUAGAGAUCCGGAAGAACACCGGAGGCGAAGGCGGGUCUCUGGGCCGAUACUGACGCUGAGGAGCGAAAGCGUGGGGAGCGAACAGG